CGGUGUUUAGCUCAGUUUGGUAGAGCGCUUGCUUUGGGAGCAAGGGGUCACAGGUUCGAAUCCUGUAACACCGACCA
rnacentral:tRNA from 2 species